GCGGAAGGUCGGAUGGCCGCUUGCCGCUCUUUCGGGGGCGGUGAGAGGAAAGUCCGGACUCCACGAAGCAACGGUGCCGGGUAACGCCCGGCCGGGGAAACCCGAGGGAAAGCGCCACAGAGAACAGACCGCCCCGCGUCCGCGCGGAGCAAGGGUGAAACGGUGGGGUAAGAGCCCACCGCGGGACGGGCAACCGGACCGGCACGGCAAGCCCCACCGGGAGCAAUGCCAAAUAGGGACCUCACACGGGCGCGCUUCGGCUCCGGGGUCCGGGUUGGCAGCUAGAGCGCGCCGGUGACGGCGGGCCCAGAUGAAUGGUCAUCGCCGGCGCAUCCGCGCCGGUACAGAAUCCGGCUUAUGCACCUUCCGCGCAA
rnacentral:RNase_P_RNA from 1 species